rnacentral:rRNA from 1 species
UAGCGGCGGACGGGUGAGUAACACGUAGGCAACCUGCCCUCAAGACUGGGAUAACUACCGGAAACGGUAGCUAAUACCGGAUAAUUUAUUUUGCAGCAUUGUGGAAUAAUGAAAGGCGGAGCAAUCUGUCACUUGAGGAUGGGCCUGCGGCGCAUUAGCUAGUUGGUGGGGUAACGGCCCACCAAGGCGACGAUGCGUAGCCGACCUGAGAGGGUGAACGGCCACACUGGGACUGAGACACGGCCCAGACUCCUACGGGAGGCAGCAGUAGGGAAUCUUCCGCAAUGGGCGAAAGCCUGACGGAGCAACGCCGCGUGAGUGAUGAAGGUUUUCGGAUCGUAAAGCUCUGUUGCCAAGGAAGAACGUCUUCUAGAGUAACUGCUAGGAGAGUGACGGUACUUGAGAAGAAAGCCCCGGCUAACUACGUGCCAGCAGCCGCGGUAAUACGUAGGGGGCAAGCGUUGUCCGGAAUUAUUGGGCGUAAAGCGCGCGCAGGCGGUUCUUUAAGUCUGGUGUUUAAACCCGAGGCUCAACUUCGGGUCGCACUGGAAACUGGGGAACUUGAGUG